UACGAAGGGGGCUAGCGUUGCUCGGAAUCACUGGGCGUAAAGGGCGCGUAGGCGGCCAUUCAAGUCGGGGGUGAAAGCCUGUGGCUCAACCACAGAAUUGCCUUCGAUACUGUUUGGCUUGAGUUUGGUAGAGGUUGGUGGAACUGCGAGUGUAGAGGUGAAAUUCGUAGAUAUUCGCAAGAACACCAGUGGCGAAGGCGGCCAACUGGACCAACACUGACGCUGAGGCGCGAAAGCGUGGGGAGCAAACGGG
rnacentral:rRNA from 1 species